rnacentral:rRNA from 1 species
GCGACCCCAGGUCAGGCGGGAUCACCCGCUGAGUUUAAGCAUAUCAAUAAGCGGAGGAAAAAAAACUUACAA